rnacentral:rRNA from 1 species
CCUACGGGAGGCUGCAGUGGGGAAUAUUGCGCAAUGGGCGAAAGCCUGACGCAGCGACGCCGCGUGAGGGAUGAAGGUCUUCGGAUCGUAAACCUCUGUCAGGAGGGAAGAAGUGGUUAUAUGCGAAUAGAGUAUGACUUUGACGGUACCUCCCAAGGAAGCACCGGCUAACUACGUGACAGCAGCCGCGGUAAUACGGAGGGUGCGAGCGUUAAGCGGAAGCACUGGGCGGAAAGCGCGCGUAGGCGGCUUUUCAAGUCAGGGGUGAAACCCCACGGCCCAACCGUGGAACUGCAUUUGAAACUGUAGAGCUUGAGUGUCGGAGAGGGUGGCGGAAUUCCAGGUGUAGGGGUGAAAUGCGUAGAUAUCUGGAGGAACACCGGUGGCGAAGGCGGCCUCCUGGACGACAACUGACGCUGAGGUUCGAAAGCGUGGGGAGCAAACAGGAUUAGAUACCCGUGUAGUC